CCUACGGGAGGCAGCAGUGAGGAAUAUUGGUCAAUGGACGAGAGUCUGAACCAGCAAAGUAGCGUGAAGGAUGACUGCCCUAUGAGUGGUAAACUUCUUUUAUAAAGGAAUUAAACGCGGCAUGUGAGCCUUUUUGCAUGUACUUUAUGAAUAAGGAUCGGCUAACUCCGUGCCAGCAGCCGCGGUAAUACGGAGGAUCCGAGCGUUAUCCGGAUUUAUGGGGUUUAAAGGGAGCGUAGAUGGGUUGUUAAGUCAGUUGUGAAAGUUUGCGUCUCAACCGUAAAAUUGCAAUUGAUACUGGUAGUCUUGAGUACAGUUGAGGUAGGCGGAAUUCGUGGUGUAGGGGUGAAAUGCUUAGAGAUCACGAAGAACCCCGAUUGCGAAGGCAGCUUACUAAACUGUGACUGACAUUGAUGCUCGAAAGUGUGGGUAUCAAACAGGAUUAGAUACCCCUGUAGUC
rnacentral:rRNA from 1 species